UACGGAGGGUGCGAGCGUUGUUCGGAAUCACUGGGCGUAAAGGGCGUGUAGGCGGUCCGCUAAGUCUGAUGUGAAAGCCCGGGGCUCACCCCCGGAAGGGCAUUGGAAACUGACGGACUCGAGUCCCGAAGAGGAGGGUGGAAUUCCUGGUGUAGCGGUGAAAUGCGCAGAUAUCAGGAGGAACACCGAUGGCGAAGGCAGGUCUCUGGGCAUUAACUGACGCUGAGGAGCGAAAUCAUGGGGAGCGAACAGG
rnacentral:rRNA from 1 species